rnacentral:rRNA from 1 species
CGGACGACGCUGGGCGGCGUGCCUAACACAUGCAAGUCGAGCGGGGUUGAAGCGAGGGGUAACUCGAACUUCUACCUAGCGGCGGACGGGUGAGUAACGCGUGGGCAACCUGCCUCAAGGAUCGGGAUAACAGCUCGAAAGGGCUGCUAAUACCGGAUAUGCCUAUGGCCUCGCAUGGGGCUGUGGGCAAAGGGGAAACCCGCCUUGAGAUGGGCCCGCGUCCCAUCAGCUAGUUGGUGAGGUGAAGGCUCACCAAGGCGACGACGGGUAGCCGGCCUGAGAGGGUGACCGGCCACACUGGGACUGAGACACGGCCCAGACUCCUACGGGGGGCAGCAGUGGGGGAUCUUGCACAAUGGGCGAAAGCCUGAUGCAGCGACGCCGCGUGAGCGAAGAAGGCCUUCGGGUUGUAAAGCUCUGUCUGGAGGGACGAAGAAAGUGACGGUACCUCCGGAGGAAGCCACGGCUAACUACGUG